UACGUAGGGGGCAAGCGUUGUCCGGAAUCAUUGGGCGUAAAGCGCGUGUAGGCGGCUUCGUAAGUCCGUUGUGAAAGUCCAGGGCUCAACCCUGGAAUGCCGAUGGAUACUGCGGAGCUAGAGUCCGGAAGAGGCGAGUGGAAUUCCUGGUGUAGCGGUGAAAUGCGCAGAUAUCAGGAGGAACACCAAUGGCGAAGGCAGCUCGCUGGGACGGUACUGACGCUGAGACGCGAAAGCGUGGGGAGCAAACAGGG
rnacentral:rRNA from 1 species